GGAGGGCUAAGGGAAGGAUAGCAGUAGGAGAAAUACCUUAUGUAGAUGACGGAUGAUGGAUGCAGCCAACCACCAUGGCACACGUAUAUCUAUGUAACAAACCUGCACAUUCUACACAUGUACCCCAGAACUUAAAGUAUAAUAAAUAAAUU